rnacentral:rRNA from 1 species
AUUGAACGCUGGCGGCAGGCCUAACACAUGCAAGUCGAGCGGAUGAAGGGAGCUUGCUCCUGGAUUCAGCGGCGGACGGGUGAGUAAUGCCUAGGAAUCUGCCUGGUAGUGGGGGAUAACGUCCGGAAACGGGCGCUAAUACCGCAUACGUCCUGAGGGAGAAAGUGGGGGAUCUUCGGACCUCACGCUAUCAGAUGAGCCUAGGUCGGAUUAGCUAGUUGGUGGGGUAAAGGCCUACCAAGGCGACGAUCCGUAACUGGUCUGAGAGGAUGAUCAGUCACACUGGAACUGAGACGCGGUCCAGACUCAUAAGGGAGGCAGCAGUGGGGAAUAUUGGACAAUGGGCGAAAGCCUGAUCCAGCCAUGCCGCGUGUGUGAAGAAGGUCUUCGGAUUGUAAAGCACUUUAAGUUGGGAGGAAGGGCAGUAAGUUAAUACCUUGCUGUUUUGACGUUACCAACAGAAUAAGCACCGGCUAACUUCGUG